UACGGAGGGUGCAAGCGUUAAUCGGAAUUACUGGGCGUAAAGCGCACGUAGGUGGCGACGUAAGUCGGGUGUGAAAGCCCCGGGCUCAACCUGGGAAUUGCAUUCGAGACUGCAUAGCUAGGGUGCGGAAGAGGGAAGCGGAAUUUCCGGUGUAGCGGUGAAAUGCGUAGAUAUCGGAAGGAACAUCAGUGGCGAAAGCGGCUUCCUGGUCCAGCACCGACGUUCAGGCACGAAAGCGUGGGGAGCAAACAGG
rnacentral:rRNA from 1 species